ensembl:snRNA U4 U4 spliceosomal RNA
AGCUUUGCGCAGGUGGCAGUAUCAUAGCCAAUGAGGUCCAAACCGAGGCCGUGAUUAUUGCUAACUGAAACUUUUCCGCAAUUUACCCCGCCGUGAUGAACUUGAAAUAUAGUCAGCACUGGCAAUUUUUUGACAGUCUUCAGGAGAC